GCGGAGGAAAAUAAAUCUAUUAAGACGGCAUCGUGUCACGAAGGAAAGCACAGCACUUUGGCAGUUGGCGCUAAGGUUUUCGCUUUACUGUGUAAAAAUGUCCAGUGGCUCGCAUUCCAGCACAGUUCAAAUUCAGCAUUAAAGUCUCACAUACUUUCCCCAUUGGAUUGAUUCUGCUGCCCACUACAACACGAUCCUUAUUUACUCCCUUCCUGCAUCUUCCAGCACCGAAGAGAAUGAGGCUCACAUGCUUUCUUUUAUUAUUCUUCAC
rnacentral:misc_RNA from 1 species